rnacentral:rRNA from 1 species
AGUGAACGCUGGCGGUAGGCCUAACACAUGCAAGUCGAACGGCAGCACAGUAAGAGCUUGCUCUUACGGGUGGCGAGUGGCGGACGGGUGAGGAAUACAUCGGAAUCUACUUUUUCGUGGGGGAUAACGUAGGGAAACUUACGCUAAUACCGCAUACGACCUACGGGUGAAAGCAGGGGAUCUUCGGACCUUGCGCGAUUGAAUGAGCCGAUGUCGGAUUAGCUAGUUGGCGGGGUAAAGGCCCACCAAGGCGACGAUCCGUAGCUGGUCUGAGAGGAUGACCAGCCACACUGGAACUGAGACACGGUCCAGACUCCUACGGGAGGCAGCAGUGGGGAAUAUUGGACAAUGGGCGCAAGCCUGAUCCAGCCAUACCGCGUGGGUGAAGAAGGCCUUCGGGUUGUAAGGCCCUUUUGUUGGGAAAGAAAAGCAGCAGGUUAAUACCCCGCUGUUCUGACGGUACCCAAAGAAUAAGCACCGGCUAACUUCGUG